rnacentral:lncRNA from 1 species
GCACACUGAAGCUGAAGUAGCACCAAGAUAGGGUCACAAGCCUGUGGACGGAGGGGCACUUCUGUCCUGGCCGGGAGGAGGGUCCUGGGGGCUGUGCAGAUGCAGGAAGCUUGUUGAUUUGGUAAUGGAGAGGUGAGGGAGUCACCAUCUGACAGCUUCUAAUUUCUGAGUAAAGAGCGAAGCGGGAUCACCUUCUAGGAGGCAGGAAGGGAACGUGGGAGGUUUCAGAAGAGAGAGAGUAUGAAACGGUCACCUCAGAAAGGGAAGAGUGACCAGGGCGGAGUGCCCACGUGGAGAUGUGAGCUCAUGAGCUGAAAGAAACCGACACUGGUCAGCCAGCUUGAAUGGCUUUCUCGAGCAACGUUCGGCUGCUCAGGCGCAGGCAAGAGAAGACAGAUGGGCCACGCAGAAUGGGCUUUGCUGAGCUACGUGGGCAGGAGGCCGAGAGAGACGAGAGAAUCAAGGGAACUGAUUAAAUGAUGGACCCUGAAAUCCGUCCUGGCAGUGAGGAUCUAAAAGCAAGGGGAGGACGGAAAGCGGCCAUUACAGAUUCAUUGCCCUCAUUAGGCGGAACUGGUGCUCUUGGGAGAAACGCUGAGUUCAGAAUCAAGUCCUGGUAAAUCUAACGCCGUCAAGUUGCAGUGAGCCAAAAACGAGACGCAAGGUGAAGGUGAAUGGAGAACCACGUAGAUAAAGACAAAGUUCAUGCUGCACGGGACCCAAUCGGCCUGAUACCACGCACAUUUUUCCCCCAAAGGGAAGUGGUCAUCAUGGGCCCAGCCUGCCGCAGUGCCCAACUCCAGAAGGAGCACAGACCAGAGAGCGUGGGCUUCAGAAUCAGAUGAGUUGGGGCCUGCGCGAUUUACGUGACCUCCCUCACGCCCGUGUGCCUGCCUACAAACUGGAAAUAAAAACACCCACCUUGUGAGGUUAUAUUUUAAAGUGCCUGUCAAAUAGUAGGGCUGAAUAAAUAUUAUUAUCUGCCUUCUUUCCCUUCCCAAAUUAUCAUUCUGCCAAAAUUUAUUCAUCACCUGGUGUGUGCCAGCCAGAGUCUCCUUUCCGAGCCAAUCAGUGGUAGUGGCAGAGGCUGCCCGCCUUGUUCCUUUCCUGUCUUCUUAACUCAGAAAUACAGAAGGGUUAACAUUUAAUUAAAAGAGGAAGAGAAAAGAAAGAAGAUGAGUUAAAGAGGAGGCAGGGUGGAAACACUGGAUCAGUGGAGAUUGAGGGGUUUUUCUCAAAGUUAUUAACUCUGGUGAAAUUUGUUUCAGAUGUUUCAUUGGCGCUUACGUUAAGCUUCCACUCCAUCUUCAUGUCUCUGGAAGGGCACGCAAGACACAGCCACAGCCGCUGCCUCUGGGGCGGGGAUUGGGCGCUGCGAGUUAGAACUGGGAAGAGCACUUUCUUACCACAUACCUUUAGCCUUGUGUGAAUUUUAACCACGUGCAACUGCUGUGUUUUCAAACAAUAAGAGCUACCAACAGAACAACACCACAGAUUUCUCUCCAGCAAACAGUUUGGGGGCAAU